AACGCAAAUUGCACUCUCUGGUAUUCCGGAGAGUAUGCCUGUUUGAGGGUCAGUGUAAUAAAUAAAUCGUGGUUGUUACCACCUUUCGUGGUGACGCUUCGGAAUUGAGUCGUCUUACCUUUCGGUUAAGUGACUUAAAAUUUUUUCAUCAUACGAUUUCGAAACGUAUUUAAAACAUUAUGGUACGUUCACGAAUAUCGAAUGUGUGGUGUUUAUUAGGUGCGGUCAUUCUCAUGAUUCGCGUCUAUAAUUUUUCUUUUUUUUUUGACCUCAAAUCAGGUAAGAGUACCCGCUGAACUUAA
rnacentral:misc_RNA from 1 species